GAGGAGUCAGAGGAGAGGGGUCAGAGGAGAGGAGUCAGAGGAGAGGAGUCAGAGGAGAGGAGUCAGAGGAGUCAGAGGAGAGGAGUCAGAGGAGUCAGAGGAGAGGGGUCAGAGGAGUCAGAGGAGAGGGGUCAGAGGAGAGGAGUCAGAGGAGA
rnacentral:lncRNA from 8 species